rnacentral:lncRNA from 1 species
AUGGUUAGAGUUGGAAGGGACCUUAAAGAUAAUGAUCUUUACAUCGAGUUCCAACCCCCCUGCCCUGGGCAGGGACACCUCCCACCAGACCAGGUUGCUCAAAGCCCCAUCCAGCCCGGCCUUGAACCCCUCCAGGGAUGGGGCAGCCACAACUUCUCUGGUGUUUUAAUUUGUGUAGACCUUUGUUGCUCUACCAGCUUAGGAGUCGCUGCUCAUUUGAGACCUGGCCGUUGCUCACUUGUGCAUAUUUUGUCCGCUUGUCGGGGUGCAGGGAAACACUGGGCUGUGUCAGAGUUAAGGCAGUUUCCUCUGGGUUAUGGGAACCUGAGGUUCAAGUCACCGGUCAAAGUCUUUUAGGGGAGAUCUUGGCCUCAAACCUGCCUCUCCUUUCCCAGCUCUGUCUGCUGCUGGGCAAGAGCCCGCUCUAAGGUUCUGCUCUCUCGCCAUUUGCCUUGAUCUCACCGGAAGAGCUCUGAUCAGGAUUGUUCUGUGGACUCUCAAAUGAAAAGCUGGAAUUUCAGUUACUUUUCUGGUGGAAAAAUAUUUCAUCGGAAGAAUUCCCGUGUGGCCUUGGCAUGCUUUCAGCUGGCAUCCUGCCUGCCCCUCUCUGAAAAUAGCGCUGAUUUUGAGCGCAAGCGCUUCUUGUGAGGCCGGUUUCUUCAGUUGCAAUCCCUCGCUGAGGUUUCUUUUUCACCUCGAGCGGACGGUAGGAGCUGGCCUCUUGUGAGGUGGCAUUGAAGUGACCUUCUGGGGCUGCCUGCAUGUCAUGCUGCCCUUCACGAGAGAGCACGGCUGAGAGAUGCCGGAGUUCCUGCAGCAUUUAAGGAGCAGCCACUGCCCUGCUGCUCCUUGCUGUCUGCUCUUAAGACUCGCCACCGCCCCCAGCUCUGGCAGCCGCCUUUGCAAAAAAGCUCUGUGGGCAGUGGAAGCGAGCUGGUUUCGUCAUGACAAUGUAGUUAUCCUUUUAAGGGAAAAUUCCCUCUGGGAGCCAACCCUCAAUUACCUCCUGCUCCAGUGCCUUCUUGUUGGAGAUGGCUUGUACCACAGCUGAGUUACAGCCACAGUAACUCGGUCGAGCACCCAGCCGCUCCAAAAAAAAAUACGAUCGUUAAACUCUGUUGGCCUCUCUUGUUUGCUAGUGAUCGCUGCAUCUAGAAACUGGGGUCAAACCCCAAAGGGCUGGCUCCCCUCAUCAGUGCAUUUGCGCAGAGCCAAUCUGUGGACUGUACAUUUUCAAACCGAGAUGCUAUUCCCAUGGUAUUCACGGGGUCGCAUGCAGAUACCAUCAUCUUCCCUACAAAAAGUCCGUUGCAAGACUCAGGAGCUUUGGGUAGUAGAAGACUGGUGAUAAUCAGCC